rnacentral:lncRNA from 1 species
UCCCUAUUUAGUUGUCUAUUUUGACAAAUCAAGAAAGGACAACAAAUUUUUUCCUAUUAUACCCUUAUUUACACUUCUUGAAAAUUGUAAAAGUGUAUGUUGUUUCCCUCCAAUUUAUUUCACUUGAAUUUAAAGAAGUGGUUGUAAUUUUAAAGUGAAAAGUUGUCAUAAGGGUAAAAUUGUAACUUCACUGUGCUAAUCAUUG